rnacentral:rRNA from 1 species
GAAUGUUAUCACGGAGACACACGGCGGGUGCUAACGUCCGUCGUGAAGAGGGAAACAACCCAGACCGCCAAGCUAAGGUCCCAAAGUCAUGGUUAAGUGGGAAACGAUGUGGGAAGGCCCAGACAGCCAGGAUGUUGGCUUAGAAGCAGCCAUCAUUUAAAGAAAGCGUAAUAGCUCACUGGUCGAGUCGGCCUGCGCGGAAGAUGUAACGGGGCUAAACCAUGCACCGAAGCUGCGGCAGCGACACUAUGUGUUGUUGGGUAGGGGAGCGUUCUGUAAGCCGUUGAAGGUGGCCUGUGAGGGUUGCUGGAGGUAUCAGAAGUGCGAAUGCUGACAUAAGUAACGAUAAUGCGGGUGAAAAACCCGCACGCCGGAAGACCAAGGGUUCCUGUCCAACGUUAAUCGGGGCAGGGUGAGUCGACCCCUAAGGCGAGGCCGAAAGGCGUAGUCGAUGGGAAACAGGUUAAUAUUCCUGUACUCGGUGUUACUGCGAAGGGGGGACGGAGAAGGCUAUGUUGGCCGGGCGACGGUUGUCCCGGUUUAAGCAUGUAGGCGGAUGUUCCAGGUAAAUCCGGAACGUUACUAACGCUGAGGUGUGAUGACGAGGCACUACGGUGCUGAAGUGACAAAUGCCCUGCUUCCAGGAAAAGCCUCUAAGCAUCAGGUAACAUCAAAUCGUACCCCAAACCGACACAGGUGGUCAGGUAGAGAAUACCAAGGCGCUUGAGAGAACUCGGGUGAAGGAACUAGGCAAAAUGGUGCCGUAACUUCGGGAGAAGGCACGCUGAUGGUAAGUGAAGUGACUUGCUCUGGAGCUGAAAUCAGUCGAAGAUACCAGCUGGCUGCAACUGUUUAUUAAAAACACAGCACUGUGCAAACACGAAAGUGGACGUAUACGGUGUGACGCCUGCCCGGUGCCGGAAGGUUAAUUGAUGGGGUUAUCCGUAAGGAGAAGCUCUUGAGUGAAGCCCCGGUAAACGGCGGCCGUAACUAUAACGGUCCUAAGGUAGCGAAAUUCCUUGUCGGGCAAGUUCCGACCUGCACGAAUGGUGUAACCAUGGCCACGCUGUCUCCACCUGAGACCCAGUGAAAUCGAAAUCGCUGUGAAGAUGCAGUGUACCCGCGGCUAGACGGAAAGACCCCGUGAACCUUUACUGCAGCUUGACACUGAACUUUGAACCUGUUUGUGCAGGAUAGGCGGGAGACAUAGAAGCAAGAGCGCCAGCUCAUGUGGAGUCAACCUUGAAAUACCGCCCUGACAUGUUUGAAGUUCUAACUCGAUGAAGACCUCAAAGAGGACAGUGUCUGGUGGGAAGUUUGACUGGGGCGGUCUCCUCCUAAAGGGUAACGGAGGAGCACGAAGGUCUGCUGAUUACGGUCGGACAUCGUAAGGUCAGUGCAAUGGCAUAAGCAGGCUUGACUGCGAGAGCAACAACUCGAGCAGGUGCGAAAGCAGGUCAUAGUGAUCCGGUGGUUCUGAAUGGAAAGGCCAUCGCUCAACGGAUAAAAGGUACUCUGGGGAUAACAGGCUGAUACCGCCCAAGAGUUCAUAUCGACGGCGGUGUUUGGCACCUCGAUGUCGGCUCAUCACAUCCUGGGGCUGAAGUUGGUCCCAAGGGUAUGGCUGUUCGCCAUUUAAAGUGGUACGCGAGCUGGGUUCAAAACGUCGUGAGACAGUUUGGUCCCUAUCUACCGCGGGCGUAGGAUAAUUGAGAGGGAUUGCUCCUAGUACGAGAGGACCGGAGUGAACGAACCGCUGGUUUACGGGUUGUCAUGCCAAUGGCACGGCCCGGCAGCCAAGUUCGGAACUGGAUAACCGCUGAAUUUUUU